UUUAUGGAGAGUUUGAUCCUGGCUCAGGAUGAACGCUGGCGGCGUGCCUAAUACAUGCAAGUCGAGCGAACGGACGAGAAGCUUGCUUCUCUGAUGUUAGCGGCGGACGGGUGAGUAACACGUGGAUAACCUACCUAUAAGACUGGGAUAACUUCGGGAAACCGGCGCUAAUACCGGAU
rnacentral:rRNA from 1 species